GGAGGGGCCGCCCCGCCUCUUAGUCGGCGGCAGCUGCUGCGGGGCCGCAGCCGCCCGGGGCCGCCGCCGCCAUGCCGGGCUCGCUGAAGGAGGAGACGGCGCUGCUGCUGGAGGACUACUUCCAGCACCGCGGCGGCGGCGCCGCGCUGCCGCCCAGCGCCACGGCGGCCACGCUGCGGCGGGCGGCGGCCGAGCUGGAGCGCUGCGAGCGGCCCUUCUUCCGCUCCUGCGCGCCGCUCGCCCGGGCCGAGCCGCGGGAGGCGGCGGCGCUGCUGCGGCGAGUGGCGGCGCAGCUGGAGGCCGACGGCGGCCUCAACUGGGGCCGGCUGCUGGCGCUCGUGGUGUUCGCCGGCACGCUGGCGGCCGCGCUGGGCGAGCGCGGCUGCGGGGACGGGCCGCGCCGCCUGGCCGAGGCGCUGGCCGCCUACCUGGCCGAGGAGCGGGGCGAGUGGCUGCGGGCGCACGGCGGAUGGCUGACCCUAACUGUGUUUAUCCAAGUGGCUGGAGUUGUUCCAGUCUCUCUGGCGGUGAGCAGGAUGGCGAGAAGCAUCUGCUGGGUGCCAGAGCUUCCCCACAGGUCCUCCCCUCCGCUCCUCUCCCUCGCUGAUGGUGAUGGCACCGCUGCAGAGUGCUGCUUCACAGAGGUGAACCCGCAGAGACGAUGCUGCCCACAGCACCAGGCCAGGGCGCCUCCUGCCCUGCUUGUUGCUGCUGCCUGCCUGAACGCGAGAGAAAGCCACCAGACAGGUGCUGUGGAGUAUUUCCAAUGCCCCCCCCCCACUAAGAGCAAAGACAUGGUUUAUCUUGGGCAGUGCCAUUGAGGGGACAAAGCUUUGCUGCCAGAACAAUUGCAGGAGCCAUGCCCCCCGUAUCCCCAGCUGACUGCACCCCUUGAGAGAGCUUGGAAGCCAGCCCAGUGUGCUGAGCAGCCAACAGACACCAGAAGACAGCACCUCAGCACCACCUGAAGGUCAAGGCACAAGGGUGGGCUCCACAAACCAAAAGUGGGCACGUCCCCGUGCAGAGUCCUUGGCCUUGGACCGCAGAAGUGUUUUGUAACCAUUGCAACUGGCGCACACACUUCGUUAGCUGAUGGCCAUGACAGGACUUUUUGCCGAAGGCUGACAUGGCCUUUCCCUAUGCAAAUAUACUACAAUAAACCUGAACAUUUCAGUGGCCCUGUGUUUAUCUAUUCUCGAGCAGCUGCUGUGUGUGCCACCACGCUCCUUCACAUCAAAGGUUCCGCCAGAACCCAUCCCAACCUCCCUACAGCCCCAUCCCCACGCUGUGUCCCUGAGAACCCGCUAUGUCCUCACUGCCAGUGCCUGUGCCAGGCCCAACAGCAGUGGUGUGGUGGAGGUGGGUGUACGUGCAGCAGCGGUGCAGUGGGGAGCCAGCUGUGAGGCUUUGGGCAUUUCCCAGGGUGAAGCUGCUGUUUGGUGUAAUGGGCUUAAUAAUGACUACAGGAGGCUACUUAGGCUGCGGCAAAGCCUCGGGGAGCACUGUGCUGCCGGCCAUGGGGGAACCGGACACGGGUAUUGCACCAUUUGCACUGUGUGAGCAUCAGCAGCUGCAGGCGGGGGACAGGGUUUCGCAUGAGGUGCUGCACCCACAAGUGAGUCAAAGCACUUCAGAGCUGAGUGCUAUGCGAGGCAGGCAGUGGCUACCAUGGGAACCAGCAUGACUUUGCACCUGGGGAAAGCCCGUCCUUUUCAGGGGGAGCGGGUUUCCCCCAGCGGUGAGAAGUCAGCAGAUGGGAAACACAUGAGGACUUUUUGUCAGGGGCCAGCCGCAUGACACACCAGGCCACAGCAUGCCCAACAUCGAGUGCUGUCAUACAGCAGUAUCAGAUGGUGCUUCUUGCACCAAGGGUCAAGUGACUCUGAAAAUCAGGACAUGAAAGUGCUUUGUCAAUGCUAAAAGCCCAUGUGAAGAAGAAAGAAUUCCCUGACCCCUUCCUCGAAGAAAGUUUGAGAUCAUGAAGACGAUUUGAAUGUUUUUAAGUGCUGACUGUGAGAUGUAUUUUAACCAGGUAGUGGGAUCUUCCCUUUCUCAGUUUCUAAACUCGAUGAGCCACUCACAGGGGAGUCUUUAGACUUCACAGACACAAGACACAGGGAGAGAACCCUGACUGUGCUGGAGGCCGCAGCUGUAGGAAGCGCAGCUGCUGAUGUCCAUCCAGUCCUGGUGCUCUGCUGUGCUUUGCACUUGGAAGUUCAUAUGUUAUCAGGGCCGGUGAAUGGACGCUGACCUCUCAGGGUGUGUGUGCAGUGGCCACAGGCCUGCAGGUAGGUGUCUGCACAACACCAGCCUCGGCGUGGGCCUGAUCCUUCUGCUUUGUCUCACUUGUUUCUACCGCUGCCUGCCAGCUACACCAGCUCAGGGACAGCAGCGUACCCCGCUGACCUGGCUGCAGGCAGGGCCAGCCCUGGGGCCUGGAUACCAUGCUGGUGGCCGAGAUCUGGCCCUCGGCCUCCUGGGGUGGCUGCGGCUCCCUCUCCCUGGCCACAGCACAGACCCAGCAGCGUCCUGCCUGGCAAAGGUGGCUGGGGGGUAGAGGCAAACCCCGGAUACAGGGUCAAAACUGGUUGUGGAAGAGAAAGCCGUGCGCUUCAUGACGUGCUGUAGAAGCCUAAAUUGCCCUCUAAGAGCAUGUCGGCCACUCUAAAAACUGUAGCGGGGGAAAGCACGAGGCCGAGCCCUGCUGUCAGCUGCAGCAGCCUGAUGGGUGCUGCAGUGCGGGCGGGCAGGGCCCGGUUCGCCUCCAGAGGCGACACGCACCGCACGGAGCCGCGGCUCACACGCGUCCCCACGCGUCCACAGGCGAGCAGCCCGGUGUCGCUGCCAGGCCCCACCAGCGGGCGUCGCUGCCGCCUGCCGCUGCCCGCCCG